CCUACGGGCGGCUGCAGUGGGGAAUAUUGGACAAUGGGGGGAACCCUGAUCCAGCCAUGCCGCGUGUGUGAAGAAGGCCCUCGGGUUGUAAAGCACUUUCAGUGAGGAAGAACGCCUGGUGGUUAAUACCCAUCAGGAAAGACAUCACUCACAGAAGAAGCACCGGCUAACUCCGUGCCAGCAGCCGCGGUAAUACGGAGGGUGCGAGCGUUAAUCGGAAUUACUGGGCGUAAAGCGCGCGUAGGUGGCUUGAUAAUCCGGUUGUGAAAGCCCCGGGCUCAACCUGGGAACGGCAUCCGGAACUGUCAAGCUAGAGUGCAGGAGAGGAAGGUAGAAUUCCCGGUGUAGCGGUGAAAUGCGUAGAGAUCGGGAGGAAUACCAGUGGCGAAGGCGGCCUUCUGGACUGACACUGACACUGAGGUGCGAAAGCGUGGGUAGCAAACAGGAUUAGAUACCCUGGUAGUC
rnacentral:rRNA from 1 species